ACCAAUGCUCUCCACCGUCUCUCGCUUUUCAUGAGGCACACUCCCACUCACACCAAUACAAUUCCUCCAACGAUAAUAAUAAGAAGAGAAGACAACUAGCACUCUCUCAGGGGCUCAUUAAAUGCAAGAGGAUAAAAAGCAAAAAUAAAAAAAAAGUUUUCGGGACCACCCAAUCAUCACAUGUUACCUACUCUCUCUGCUGCAAGAGAAAAGGAAAUUAAAAAAAAC
rnacentral:lncRNA from 1 species